GCAAACUUGGUCAUUUAGAGGAAGUAAAAGUCGUAACAAGGUUUCCGUAGGUGAACCUGCGGAAGGAUCAUUACCAAGUUGUAGUCAGUUGAAUGGUCAUUCAACUGUCUACUCAAUUCAUCAUAUUGAUUCCGUGAACCAACGCUCUGCUUUGGUGUCGGUCAGUAUUGUAUCGACACCAGAGGAUUUUAAUUCAUUAUUUAUUUGUCUGAUAAUAAUAUUUAAAAAAGAAUAAAACUUUCAACAACGGAUCUCUUGGUUCUCGCAUCGAUGAAGAACGCAGC
rnacentral:misc_RNA from 1 species